UACGGGGGGUGCAAGCGUUAAUCGGAAUUACUGGGCGUAAAGCGCACGCAGGCGGUUGAUUAAGUUAGAUGUGAAAUCCCCGGGCUUAACCUGGGAAUGGCAUCUAAAACUGGUCAGCUAGAGUCUUGUAGAGGGGGGUAGAAUUCCAGGUGUAGCGGUGAAAUGCGUAGAGAUCUGGAGGAAUACCGGUGGCGAAGGCGACUUGCUGGACUUCAACUGACGCUGAGGAGCGAAAGCGUGGGUAGCAAACAGG
rnacentral:rRNA from 1 species